UUUAUUGAAGCCAUGAACGACUUAUGAUUUGCUAAAAUCUCAUCCUUGUCAAAUGAUAUGUUUUUGUAUGUGGGAUUACCUGAGUGCUCCUUUAUACCCAAUUCUUUUACAAGACAUUCGUAGUAAUACGAUUUACAUACAAAGACAAUUUUAUUUGAAGCUUUGUCCGCAGGAACAACAACAUACUUAUCAUGAAGAGACGAUAGACAUUUCAUGGCCUCUUUGUCUCUGAAAACGGACUUUGGUCGAUCGUUCACAGUUUUUCAACUUGUGAAUGCGACGUUUUAUCAGAGACCUGAUAGUUUUAACCCAUUCUGACAAAGUGUCCAGUUCAACUUCUUCUCGCUUAGCCCAUGCUCUGGCGUAG
rnacentral:lncRNA from 1 species